rnacentral:lncRNA from 1 species
GAGAGAAAUGAGGUGUGGAAGCUUGUUCCUAUGCCAAAUGACCAUUUAGUUAUUGGUACUAAGUUGGUCUUCAGAAACAAGCAAGAUGAAUCUGGUAUCAUGGUUAGAAACAAAGCUAGAUUAGUGGCCAAAGGUUUCAACCAAGAAAAAGGUAUCAAUUACGAAGAAACCUUCGCUCCUAUGGCUCGAUUAGAAGCCAUAAGAAUGCUCAUUGCCUAUGCUAGUAGUAAUAAUUUUAAGUUGUUUCAAAUGGAUGUUAAAAGUGCUUUUCGUAAUGGCUUUAUUUCCAAAGAAAAUGAUAGUCUCCCUAAUCAUGUGUUUAAAUUAACUAAAGCUCUCUAUGAUUUAUCUCUUAUGAAUUUUUAAUUGAGAAAUGGAUUUGAUAUAAUAAUUCAUUCACAUGAAUUCUUUCUUAAUGAAGAAAUUUUUUUUUUUAGAUGAACACUUACAAUGAUUUAAUUUCACAUGAAUAUCUUGAUCCAUGUGAAAAAUGAAGCAUGAUUUAAUAAAACUCUUUUAUCAUUGUUAUCUUCAUUCAAAGUUGGUUCUUAAUGGUUUUUCCUCCUUACUUUCCUCCUUCAUGCGAAGUUUUAAUGAAAAAUAAAAAGGGAGAAGAUGAUGGAAGCCAUCUCGUUAUAUAUUUAUAACUUUUAAUGCGAGAACUUUUAAAUGAUAUCAUGUCAUGAAUGCUUGAAAUAUGAUUUAUAUGAAUUUCUUUACAAUUUGAAAUAUGACAUGAAUCUUUACCAUACUUGCAUUUAUUGUUGAGUCGUUCUCCUUUUUGUUGAUGACAAAGGGGGAGAAAUAAUACCAAAAUGUGGUAAAUUGAUGAUAAAUAUAUACAAUUUUACACUUGAAAUGUUUGCAUUAUGAUAAGAUAUCUAGAGCUUAACUUGUAAUUUUACAAAUUGAUAUCUUGCCAUAGAAUGAAUUGCUAUAUUUGUCAUCCUUCAUAUUUGAAAUAUCAAGACUUGAAAAUAGAUGUCAUGCCUUAACAUCAUUUUCAGAAUGUUACAUCAUGAUAGGAAUCAUGAUGUGUGUAUUGAUAAGUUUAAAUGAAUUUAACUUAUCAAUAUGUCUCUUGAAUUCAAAGGCUUUGAAUUCAAGAAUAACUUUUCUCAAGUAUGAUAUAUAGAUAGGGGGAGUUAAGAUUAACUCCGUUAUUAAUUGAUUGUCAUCAUCAAAAAGGGAGAGAUUGUUGAAUCUAUGAUUUUGAUUAUGAAGUCAAUUGUAAUUUGUUUGAUCUAAUCUUUAUGUUGAGAAAAGUGUGCAGGAUUAACUAUGAUGGUAGUAAGACUUGAAGCAGGUGUUAUGCCGGAGUCAUCGAGAUCAUGUUGGAAGUUCGAGAAUUCGUUGGGAGAUCGAGAUCACGGUGGUACCACCCAGACUGAGCAAUAGUACCGCCUAGUGUUAGAUGUCAAGCGAUAGUACCACCCAAUAAGGCGGUGGUAUCGCUAGGACCUCGGAAAUUCAGGAUGAGACACUUCUUGGCUCCAUUUUUAAAAGUCAUUAGGGUCUAUAAAUACCCCACCCUUUUUUGUAUAAAAGGGCACCGAAAUUUUGAUAUAUUCUUGAGUCUUUGAAGUGUUAAAGAGUUAUAAAAGUGCUAGAGUUCUCCUCCUUCCUUUCUAAAUGUUGAGAUCAUUCAAGAGAGGAGUGAAACUUAUAAGGGUUGUCUCCUAAACCCGACAAAAGGAGAAAAGCUGUAAAACAUGGUUGGCCUUCGCCUAUUGAAGGAAGGCCUCUAGUGGAUGCUGGUGACCUCAUCGGAGGAGGAAGCCGAAAGUGGAUGUAGGUCACGUUUGACCGAACCACUCUAAAACUCGGUUUGCAUUUACUUUGAGCAACUUUCUUUUAUAGCAAACUGCCUCUCCUCCUUACUAUGCUUUAAAUACGUCUACAUACGCUUUGAUGUAAAUAUCUUCGGAGAUCGGCUUUAAUCAUAUGAAGACUUUACGAAAUCGACGCUUUUCAUUUGUGCAACUUACAUUGCUACAAAUCACCUUAGUCUUCUCUUGCAUUUUCAUAUAAGGUUUUAAGUUAAAAUUCCUUCUGAAACGGAUUGAGUUGAAAUCAUUCUCGUUGAAUCGGCUUUAAUCGAAAUAAGGUUUUUGAAAUAGCGAAAGUUUUUCGCUGCACUAAUUCAUCCCCCCUCUUAGUGCGCUCUUGAUCCUAACAAUAUGCGAUGUUUAAGCUUCUGUUUCAUAUUUGUUUCUUGAUAUGCUUCGAAAUAUUUCAUAUGUCAUUGAUAUCCGAAUGCUCCUUACAUCUUUGAUAUGCUUUGAAAUAUUCUAUAUGUCAUUGAUAUGCUCCAAAAUAAUUUAUCUGUAACUAAUCGUUAGUCGCUUACUGAGCUUUAUGUGCUCACCCUAUUGCUAUAUAAAAUUUUCAGGAUAGCUUGUCGCUUGCUAGAAUGUUUAAAUUGAUCUAUGAUAGUGGAAAGCUAGAAGGUUUUGAGGUAAAUUUUUCAUACUUGAUAAGUUGAUAUUGUACAAGUUCCUUUUGUGUGUAUCAACGACAAAUCUAGAUUUAUGUAUCUUGUAAAUAUUUAAAAAGUAUCCCUCGUAUCGGGAUUUUGGGAAUGUUAAGUUAAUUUGUGUAAUGAUAUGAAAAUAUGGUAAACAUUAGUUUUUGUGAUUGUAUAGAUUCCCACAACUAUGGAUUUAUGAUGUGGUUAUGGUUCAAUUAAGUAGGUUUUGGAUUUUGUGAAUCAUUACGUGAUACGAUGGUACGAUUAUAAACUGGACAGGUCUUAUCGAUUAUGAAAUAUAUGAAAAUGACUUAAACGUUUUCUCAGUGUCCUCAAAUGUGUGAUUGGAUCUUGGAAUGAAAUGUAUUAUUGAUCUAUAAUAAAUUUGAGAGGGGGCGUGACGAAGAUGGUAUCAGAGCAUGGUUUGAGGAUCUCUGAGAUAUUUGAUUUGUUUGAUGUGCAAAAUAUAAUGAGGAUUAGUAAAUUAUAUUGAGGACUAGUAAACUAUAGUGAUCAGUGAAAAUUUUCUUUGAUGUCUUUUUGGAAUCUAAGAUGUCAAUAACAUUUGGUCCUCCUACUUUAUCUGCUUCUGAUUAAUUAAGGAGGAUAAAAGGGUUGAUCGGGGAUAUUUAAUUAGAAUGGCGCAGCGGAAGCAUGAUGAAUCUAAUUCAUUGGUGGCAGAAUAGUAGCAGAAUAAUGGGUGAUAUGAAUAAAGAAGACCCAAUGAUGUUGAUGGCCUCUAUCUAGGUGUAAUUUUGAUCUUAUCUUUUAAUCGAAGGAGAUAUGACAAAUUUAGAGAACUAAAAUUUUCUUUUAAGGAGUGGAGAGUGUAACAUCCCUUAUUUUUGAAAAAUUUAUAAGGGCUUAUUUGUAAUGUAAGGACCUAAGAGUAAAUAUUAAAAAUUUGAUAUGAUUUAUGAAAGAUUCAGAUUUAAGUUAAAAAAAAAAAAUGGUGGACAUGUGUGACUAGCUAACCUAAUGGUGCCACAUAAGUUUAUUCUAUGGAUGACACCUAAGCCCCUUUCAUGCAUGCUUGCCACAUUGCAAUCCUUAUAUUAGCUUCUAAUGCAUUAGAGGAGAAAUAAAAUGAUGAAAACUAAAGAAGCUGCAGUCAACAUUGGUUUGAGAUGAGAAGGGAAUUGAAGAAGAAGAAGAAGAAGAAGAAGAAGAAGAAGAAGAAGAAGAGGAAAAAGCUUUGCUUUGGCUUGAGGUUUUGCAUCAAUUACACACUUUUGGGACUCAAAUUUGUAUAAGACAAGAGUUCUAACCCAUUUCUACAGAAAUUCUAAUAUCUAUCUUCAUUUUAAUUCUUUAUAAUUCGAAAGGUUUCAGCUUAGCACCAAACCUUUCUUUCGUUUUGAUACAAAGCCAUGAAUCUGUAAUUUUUCGGUAACCUAACCUCUAUACACUAUUUCAAACCUAACUUUUAACGAUAAUAUCUAAUUUAGGCAUAUCCCUAUUCAUUUGAAAGUAGACUCAAAAUUUUUAUUUUGAUACUGAGAUUGAAUGGUUUGGAAUUUAAAUGCCUACUAAGACUUCUGUUUCAAUUAACCCUAUAGAUUCUGUAAAACAAUGACUAUAAUUUCUAACCUCUUAUUGCUUAACUGCUUAUAACUUUCCGUUCAAAACUCCGAUUCAUGAAAUUAUAUUUAUUGGAAACUAAACUCAUAGAUCUUUCUAUACAUAUCUAAUUUGAAUGAUUUGGAGCUCAAUUACCUAUUGAAUCAUCUGUUCAAAUCAACUUUGUGAAUUCUGUAAAAAGAUAAUAUUUUCUGAUCUUUGGUUACUAAAUUGUUUAUAACACCUUAUUAGAAACUCCGAUUCAUACAAAGCUUGAGUUAUCAAAAACUAGAUUGAUACAGCUUUUGAAUGAUACCUAUUUUGUGUAAAUUGGAGCAAAAUUGAUCAUCCAAAUAAUUCAUGCAAUGUGUCUCUCAAAUUCUAUCAGAAUCGAGCUUUGAUCGAUUUCGCUUAUUCUUGUUUCGUAUCUUUGGAAAUUGAUUUCAGCUAAAAUCCUUACUUUAGUUGAGCUUUACAUUAUUGCUUUAAAUUCAUGUAUUAUCUUGUUCUACGAGUAUUUGCAUAUCUUAAUCUGGUAUAUAAACUUUAUGAUUGUAUCAUAAUGUUUCGUAUAGGCACAUGCAUUCCGUUGUUCUGCAUGUGUUUCCGAUAUGUCCCAAUUUAUUGUUCACAAUACCUUUUGUACUUUGGUGUUUGUGGAAUCAUUUGAACCUUUACUAGAAAUAGUAAAGAGAUUAUAUAGACCUUUGCCAGAAAUGAUAAAGGGAUUAUCUGGACCUUUGCCAAAAAUGGUAAAGGGCAUGUGCUUAGAGCCCGCGAUGCUCUAGAUUAUGUUUGGUGGUCAUUCAGAAAUGGAUGGACCAUAUUAUGUUUGGGAUCUCACUUCACUUUCUAUUUGCUUGAUAUGAUAUCCAAAGCUUUGGUUAUAUACUUCUAUCUGUGCUUUGGAUAAGAAUAAAAUGUAUGCAACGUCAUAUGCGACUUUUGAGCUUCUGUUUCGUAUUUGUUCCUUGAUAUGCUCCGAAAUGUUUCAUAUGUCAUUAAUAUCCGAAAUGAUCCUUACUUCUUUAAUAUGCUUUGAAAUAUUUUAUAUGUCAUGGAUAUACUUCAUAUACCAUUAAUAUGCUCCGAAAUGAUUUAUCUGCCAUUAAUCCUUAGUCACUUGCUGAGCUCAAUGUGCUCAUCCCGUUGCUAAAUAAUUUUUUUAGUAUAGCUUGUCGCUUGCUAGAAUGUUUAAAUUGAGCUAUGACAAUUGAAAGCCAGAAGGUUUAGGGGCAAAUCUUUCGUACUUGAUAAGUUGAUGUUGUAUAAGUUCCUUUUGUGUGUAUCAACGAUAAAUCUAGAUUGAUGUAUCUUGUAAAUAUUUGAAAAGUAACCCUCAUAUCAGGAUUUUGGGAAUGUUAAGCUAAUUUGUAUAAUGAUAUGAAAAUGUGGUAAACAUUAGUUUUUGUGAUUGUAUAGAUUCCCACAACUAUGGAUUUAUGAUGUGGUUAUGGUUUAGUUGAGUAGGUUUUGGAUUUUGUGAAUCAUUACUUGAUAUGAUAGUACGAUUAUAAACUGCAUAGGUCUUAUGGAUUAUGAAAUAUAUGGAAAUGACUUGAAUAUUUUCUUAAUGUCCUCAAAUGUGUGACUUGAUCCUAGAAUGGAAUAUAUUGUUGAUCAAUAAUAAAUUCGGGGGGCGUGACAAAUGUGCACACUAGCAAUUCUUCCUCCCUUUUUGUCAGUGGUAAAAAGAAGGGAAGAAUAAAAUGUUGUAAUUCUUUUCCCUUUACAUCCAUUUUCAAAUCAUGACAAAGAUAAAUAACAAGAAUAGAUUUUCAUCAAUGUUUCAAUCAAAAAUAAAAGAUCAAGUCAUGAAUACCAAAAUAUGAUAUAUCAUUUUUGACAAAUUUUUUCUUUUAUAAAUAGAAGGAAUGAUAGGAAACAAUCUUGAUUUAAAAAGAACACUCAAGUCAUAAAAAUCUAGAAAUCAAGAUCAUGAUCCGAAUAAUGUAUAAGAAGAGUUUAUGCCUUUGGGAGAUUUAUGUUUGCCAUUCAAGCUAGCACUUUUUUAGUUCUAUUUUACAAUAUGCAAGCUAACAAUUUCCUUCUUCUUUUGCAACAAUGAUUCAAUCAUAUCAUGAGAUAUACAAAUCAUAAAUACAAGAAAAUUGUACACAAUAAACUUUAAAUUAUAAACAUCAAGAAGUCUAGUGAUAUAUCGUGGUUAAUUUGAAUGCAUACCCCCUUUUUAGUGAAUACCAAGAAGAAUCGUAGGAGGACAAUUUGUGAAAAAUCUUGAUUCAUAAUAAAACUUUCAAUUUGUAAUCAAAAGAAUAAUCAUGAUUCGUUUGGAUGAAUGUUUUCUUAAGAGAGUGAAUCAUAUGAGAAUCAAGAAAAAUAUUUCAUAUAAAAUAUAUCACGAGUCACAAACAUCAAUAAAUGGUUCGAUUGGAUAUAUCAUCUCAUUAUUAAAAUGAAUCAUAUGAAAAGAAAUCCCAAAUCAUCAUCAACAUAGAUAGUUUCCUAUAAGAUUAAAAAUAGCUCAAGUUCUUUUAGUUUCAAAUUUUGUGAUUGAUUUCAUGCAAGCAUGCCUUUAUCUUUUUAUGCCAAAUCAAAACAUGCAUCAUCGUUUAAACUUGAAAAACAAGAUUUAUCACAAAAAUCAUCAAGAUCAAAGGUGUAACACAUAAUUCCAAAGCAUAAGAAUUCAAAUCAUCAUUACUUCAAAUCCUUAUGAAUAAUAUAAAAUCAUCAAGCAUGAUACCAAACCUUCGAACAUUUUCAUUGCAUUAUUACAUCAUUACAUCAUUAAAACAUCAAGCAUGAUUUUUAGUAAACAUAAGGAAUUUUCAAUCAAAAUCAUUUUAUUUAUUGUAGUAAUACAUUUUUCUUUUUAAAUGAAUCUAACUUUUCAUGCUUAGUUCUAGGAGUUAACAUGCAAUUUUCAUGCUCAAAUUUUUAAUUUUUUUAAUUUUUAAAAUCACUAGAAAAAAAGCAUAAUUUUUAUAUUUUUUAUUUCUUACUAACUAAUUUAAAAAAUAACUCAUGAAAUGCAUUAAGUAAUUUCACAACUUUGUCAUCAUCGGUUUGCUUGAGUUGUUUACCUUAUUGUCGAGAGCCAUCAAAGCGAAGUUCACAACUUUGUCAUCAUCGGUUUGCUCCUCAUUUUCGGAUGCACUCAAACCGUCCUAAGUCGCAUUGAGUGUUUUCUUCUUCUUUGGCAACUUCUUCUUUUUAAGAUUAUUUUUAUUUUUAUUUUCAUAUUUUAUAAAUUUUAUAAUUUACUUGUGAGGAGUUCUAUGUCAUCAUCACUUGAGCUUUUGUUCGAGUCGUCUUUUGUUCGAAGUAUAAAAUCCUUCCUAUUCUUUGGAAGGUUAUUCUUAUGUUCAUAAUGUGCUUUGCACGUCAUUUCAUAUGUCAUCAAUGAGCCAAUAAGUUAUUCCAGUAGAAAAUUGUUAAAGUUCUUCACCUCUUGUAUUAUAGUUUCUUUCGGAUCCCAACUCUUUGGAAGGGAUAUUAGAAUCUUGUUUAUAAGUUCAAUAUUAGAAAAACAUUUGCCAAGAGCUUUUAAACUAUUGAUGACAUGUGUAAAACGGGUGUACAUGUCAAUAAUAGUUUCGCUUGGCUUCAUACAAAAUAUUUUAAAAUCAUGCAUUAAAAGAUUAAUUUUUGAAUAUUUAACUCUACUAGUACUUUCGUGUGUGAUUUCAAGUGUGUGCUAAAUCUCAUAAGCUGUUUCAUAAAUAGAAACUCGAUUGAAUUCAUUUUUAUCCUAGUAUAAAAUAAAGCAUUCAUAGCUUUGACAUUCAAAGAGAAAGUCUUCUUUUUCAAAUCAUUCAAAUCAUUCAUUGGAAGAGAAGAGUUUUGAAAUUUGUUUUCAAUAAUAUUCCAAAAAUCAAGAUUCAACGAAAGUAAGAAAACUCUCAUCCAAGUUUUCCAAUAAGUGUAGUCCAUCCAAUUGAACAUAGGAGGACAAAUGAUAGAGUGACCCUAUUGAAAGCCGAAAAGAGUCAUUUCUCAUAGGUGUUAAGUCAAACGAGAAAAAAAUAUAAAUCUAAUAUCAACUGUUAUGAUCAAGUCGGCACUAAGAGGGGGGGUGAAUUAGUACGUAUGUAAAAAUCAUGUUGAAUCAAAAAUCUUCGUAUGAUAAAAUCAUUUUUACAAAACCCGCAUCGGAAAGUAAUGAAAGUAAUAACUUAGAGUAAAUGUAAAGUGUAGAGUGCAGCUAAGUAAUGAAAGAAAGCAGUAAGAAAAGAACACAUCGGGUUUAUAGUGGUUCGAUCAUCAUGACCUAUAUCUACUCCUGAUUCCUCUUCACUUGAGAUCAUCGGCUUUUACUAGUGGUCUUCCUUUAAUGGGCGAAGACUAACUACCCUUACAAUCCUAUUCCCCUUUUGACGAGCUCAAGAGAGAACUUUUAUAAGCCAAUUCACUCAUCUCUUUGUAAUAUCCCUCACUUUUAAAAAUUUAUUAAUAAAGAUUUAUAUGUAAAUUAGAGGACCUAUAUGUAAAUAUAAAAAUUUCAAGGACUAAACUGUUAAGUUGCAAAAAGAAAAAAAUAAAGAAAACCGAAAAUUUUGGUUUUAUCCCACCGCCUCCCACGCUCUCUGUUCGAACAGAGAGAGGAGCGCGUGGGGAGAAGAAGAGAGGAAGAAGAGGGAGAAGAGAAGAAGAAGAAGAAGAAGAAGAGAGGAGGAUAGCUGCGGCAAGGCUGCAGCGAGGAGGUGUGUGGCGUUGGGGAGGAAAAGGGAAGAGGAGAAGAAGAGAAGGAGAAGAAGAGGGAAAAGAGAGGGAAGAGGGAGAGGAGCAAGAGGUGGAAGCAGCUAGGGCUGCAGCACCUUUGUUUCCUGCAAGUCGAAACAGAGGAGAGGUGUGGGGCGAUCGAAGAGGAGAAGAAGAAGAAGAGGAAGCAGGAGAAGAGGUUGUGAUGCCUCUGUUCCUGCAGAGGAAACAGAGGAGAGGGUGUGUGUGACGCCGGGGAGGAGGAGGGAAGAAGAAGAGGAGAAGAAGAAGAGAAGGGAAAGGAGGAGCUGUGGUUGCGGCGGUGGCAACUGCAGCUGGAAGAGAAGGAGAGGAAGAGAUGGCGAGGAAGAAGAGAAGAAGAAGAAAGGAAGGAGAAGGAAGAGGAUAAGGGAAAGAAGUAGCUGCGGCUGCGGCUGUGGCAGCUGCAGCUAUGGCAGGGAAANNNNNNNNNNNNNNNNNNNNAAGAAGAGGCUGCAGCCGUGGCUAAGGCUGCGACUGCAGCAGUGCAGCUGGGAAAGAAGAGAAGGAAAGGAAGAAGAAGAGAAAGGAAAAGGGAAGAAGAGAGGAAGAGGAGAAGGGGAGGCAGCUGCGGCAGUGGUAGCUGCAGCUGGAAGAGAAGGAGAGGAAACAUAGCACAGGGGAGGAAGAAGAGGCUGCGGCUAUGGUGGUUGCGGCCGUGGCUG